GCGGAGUUUAUAACAAUGAUUGACAGGGAGCUAAGAUGGAGGUGGCUCUCUCUAUACGGACUGCCAGGUGUAAAGGGCGGAGCUUAUAACAAUGAUUGACAGGGAGCUAAGAUGGAGGUGGCUCUCUCUAUACUGACUGCCAGGUGUAAAGGGCAGAGCUUAUAACAAUGAUUGACAAGGAGCUAAGAUGGAGGUGGCUCUCUCUAUACUGACUGCCAGGUGUAAAGGGCGGAGCUUAUAACAAUGAUUGACAGGGAGCUAAGAUGGAGGCGGCUCUCUCUAUACUGACUGCCAGGUGUAAAGGGCGGAGCUUAUAACAAUGAUUGACAGGGAGCUAAGAUGGAGGUGGCUCUCUCUAUACUGACUGGCAGGUGUAAAGGGCGGAGUUUAUAACAAUGAUUGGCAGGGAGCUAAGAUGGAGGUGGCUCUCUCUAUACUGACUGCCAGGUGUAAAGGGCAGAGCUUAUAACAGUGAUUGACAGGGAGCUAAGAUGGAGGUGGCUCUCUCUAUACUGACUGCCAGGUGUAAUGGGCGGAGCUUAUAACAAUGAUUGACAAGGAGCUAAGAUGGAGGUGGCUCUCUCUAUACGGACUGCCAGGUGUAAAGGGCGGAGCUUAUAACAAUGAUUGACAGGGAGCUAAGAUGGAGGUGGCUCUCUCUAUACUGACUGCCAGGUGUAAAGG